rnacentral:rRNA from 1 species
GUCUAUUUGGUAGAGAUAUAAAUAGUCUGGCCUGCCCACUGAAAUAAUUAAAGGGCCGCGGUAUUUUAACCGUGCAAAGGUAGCAUAAUCACUAGUCUUUUAAAUGGAGACUUGAAUGAAUGGUUGAACAAAUAAAUAGCUGUCUUUUUUUUAAAAUUUGAAUUUAACUUUUAAGUGAAAAGGCUUAAAUAUUUCAGGGGGACGAUAAGACCCUAUAAAUCUUAUAUAUAAAUGUUUAAUUUUUAUUGAUAAAUUGUCUUAUAAUUUAAAUUAAAUAAUAUAUUGUAUUGGGGCGAUAAAAGUAUAAUUAAUAUAACUGCUUAUUUUUAAAUACUAAUAUUUUUGAUUAUUAUUAAUGAUCCUUUAAAAGAUUUGAAGAUUAAGUUACUUUAGGGAUAACAGCGUUAUUUUUUUUGAGAGUUCUUAUCGAAAAAAAAGUUUGCGACCUCGAUGUUGAAUUAAAAUUUCUUUAUGGUGUAGUCUUUAUAAGAGAAGGUCUGUUCGACCUUUAAAAUUUACAUGAUU